GCCUCCUCCUCCUCCUCCUCCUCCUCCUAAUGUACUGCAGCAGCAGCAGGAGGAGGAGGAGGAGGAGGAGGAGGG
rnacentral:miRNA from 1 species